rnacentral:lncRNA from 1 species
AAGUGACAAAAAAAAUUCUUGAAGGAAAACUAGAGGCAUGCGAAAGAGAGAGACCUAACCUUUGUUUUCCAUAAAAAGGAAGAAGACUAGCGGCAAGAGGGAGCUUAACAAAAGACCGAGAGAUGCAAGCUAGUAUAGAUCCAAUGCGGAAGUAGAUCGAGUGUGCAUGCCUGCAUGUCGUGGAGGCUGUCUCGUAAGCCAGCAGCACAUGGCUCUGCACACAGUCACUUAUGAUCGACUGAUGGACGAGCUAUUCCAUCCAUCCAUCAUGUUACCCCAAUUGGGCAUGCAUGGGCACCACGCGACAUGCAUGGGUGCCACGUGGCAUGCAUGCAUAUUGUAUGUGGGUGGCUAGUCGGCCACUUGGCCAAUCAUCAACCACUGAUCGUUUAUGCGGUCCAGCAAACCUCCUUCGCCCAAAAAAUCUAUUUAAAGGGCCCUUGCAGUCCCUUUCACUUCUCACAUUUCUUCUUCCUUGAUUUUUAGAGAACAUUUAGAGGAAAAUUUGCGAGAAAGUCAAGAGAGAUUAGGAGUUCAGAUUUCUUCAUACGGUUUACAAAU